UUCAGCGGCGGACGGGUGAGUAAUGCCUAGGAAUCUGCCCGAUAGUGGGGGACAACGUUUCGAAAGGAACGCUAAUACCGCAUACGUCCUACGGGAGAAAGCAGGGGACCUUCGGGCCUUGCGCUAUCGGAUGAGCCUAGGUCGGAUUAGCUAGUUGGUGGGGUAAAGGCUCACCAAGGCGACGAUCCGUAACUGGUCUGAGAGGAUGAUCAGUCACACUGGAACUGAGACACGGUCCAGACUCCUACGGGAGGCAGCAGUGGGGAAUAUUGGACAAUGGGCGAAAGCCUGAUCCAGCCAUGCCGCGUGUGUGAAGAAGGUCUUCGGAUUGUAAAGCACUUUAAGCUGGGAGGAAGGGCAGUAAGUUAAUACCUUGCUGUUUUGACGUUACCAGCAGAAUAAGCACCGGCUAACUUCGUGCCAGCAGCCGCGGUAAUACGAAGGGUGCAAGCGUUAAUCGGAAUUACUGGGCGUAAAGCGCGCGUAGGUGGUUCAGCAAGUUGGAUGUGAAAGCCCCGGGCUCAACCUGGGAACUGCAUCCAAAACUACUGGGCUAGAGUAUGGUAGAGGGUGGUGGAAUUUCCUGUGUAGCGGUGAAAUGCGUAGAUAUAGGAAGGAACACCAGUGGCGAAGGCGACCACCUGGACUAAUACUGACACUGAGGUGCGAAAGCGUGGGGAGCAAACAGGAUUAGAUACCCUGGUAGUCCACGCCGUAAACGAUGUCAACUAGUUGUUGGGUUCCUUGAGGACUUAGUAACGAAGCUAACGCGAUAAGUUGACCGCCUGGGGAGUACGGCCGCAAGGUUAAAACUCAAAUGAAUUGACGGGGGCCCGCACAAGCGGUGGAGCAUGUGGUUUAAUUCGAAAGCAACGCGAA
rnacentral:rRNA from 1 species